rnacentral:rRNA from 1 species
UACGAAGGGGGGCUAGCGUUGCUCGGAUUGACUGGGCGUAAAGGGCGCGUAGGCGGUUCGUACAGUCAGACGUGAAAUUCCUGGGCUCAACCUGGGGGCUGCGUUUGAUACGUGCGGACUUGAGUGCGGAAGAGGGUCGUGGAAUUCCCAGUGUAGAGGUGAAAUUCGUAGAUAUUCGCAAGAACACCAGUGGCGAAGGCGGCUCACUGGCCCGGUACUGACGCUGAGGUGCGAAAGCGUGGGGAGCAAACAGG